CAAGUACUCCCUCCGUCCCAAAUUACUUGUCGCGAAAAUGGAUGUAUCUAGAACUAAAAUACAUCUAGAUACAUCCAUACUUGCGACAAGUAAUUUGGGACGGAGGGAGUAUGAU
rnacentral:pre_miRNA from 1 species